AUAUAGCGUGAGGGAUAGCAGCGACAUCCUUUUGCGGUUCUCGCAGAUCCGCAAAAGAUACAGCGGAUAGCCCGACCCGUC
rnacentral:sRNA from 1 species